CAGGCCAAAUCAGCAACGCAACAACAGUUGCUAACUUCUCGUACUUGGACGAUGGCACUUUCCACCUUGCCGAGGGAGUUGUUGUGCGGUCUGAAGCUGCCUUCAAGAUCAUGCGCAAUCUCAAGCCAGCACUUGUCGUGAAGGACACGCCUCAAGCUAUGUGGGGGAACCAUGGUUUAGAAAAGAAGAGCGUCACAGGGAUGGCGGCGCCACGGAAAAAAUGCCUGGGCGAAUUGGCUAAAGAGUCACUAACACCCGAGAAGGUUGCUGUUGUUGCAGCCACGCUGAAGCACUGGGGUGCAGAAAAGAACAUAGACGUGGAAUCAACAAUCUUGG
rnacentral:lncRNA from 1 species